rnacentral:misc_RNA from 1 species
UUUCCGUAGGUGAACCUGCGGAAGGAUCAUUACUGAGUAACCGAGGUCCGAGGCCUGUCUCUCACACCCAAGGCCUUGCACGCCCGACUGCCCUCACACGCGUUCAUCCGCCGCCUGUAUACACCACCGCCUGGGUAGUCCUUUUCCUUGUUCGGAGGGAGGCUUUCAUUUCCACACACACCUUGUAUGCUGUUUAUACUGUCUUUUUUGUAUUUGCCAUCACGCAAGCAAAACAACCUUCAACACCGCAUCUAUUGCCUCUCACAUCGAUGAAGAACC